rnacentral:rRNA from 1 species
GUCUUUUUGAUUUAUAAUUUAAAGUCUGAUCUGCUCUAUGAAAUAAUUUAAAUGGCUGCAGUAUUUUAACUGUACAAAGGUAGCAUAAUAAUUUGUCUUUUAAUUAAAGGCUGGUAUGAAAGAUUUGACGAGAUAAAUUCUGUCUCUAUUUAAAUAUUAAUUUAAUUUAAUUUUUAAGUUAAAAAGCUUAAAUUUUUUUAAAGGACGAGAAGACCCUAUAGAGUUUUACAAAAAAAAUUAUUAAUAAAUUUUAUUUUUUUUGUUAAUAUUUUUUUUUGUUUUAUUGGGGCGAUAAUAAAAUUUAAUUAACUUUUUAAUAUAAAUAAACAUUAAUUAAUGAAUUUUUGAUCCUAUUAUUUAGAUUAUUAGAACAAAUUACCUUAGGGAUAACAGCGUUAUUUUUUUUAGAGUACUUAUCGAUAAAAAAGAUUGCGACCUCGAUGUUGGAUUAAAAUUAAAUUUAGGUGAAGAAGCUUAAUAUUUUAGGUCUGUUCGACCUUAAAAAUUUUACA